GACGAACGCUGGCGGCGUGCUUAACACAUGCAAGUCGAACGGAAAGGCCCUGCUUUUGUGGGGUGCUCGAGUGGCGAACGGGUGAGUAACACGUGAGUAACCUGCCCUUGACUUUGGGAUAACUUCAGGAAACUGGGGCUAAUACCGGAUAGGAGCUCCUGCUGCAUGGUGGGGGUUGGAAAGUUUCGGCGGUUGGGGAUGGACUCGCGGCUUAUCAGCUUGUUGGUGGGGUAGUGGCUUACCAAGGCUUUGACGGGUAGCCGGCCUGGGAGGGUGACCGGACAAGCAGGAAGUGGAAUAAGACACGGCCCAGAGCCGGGGGCGGGGGAGAAGUAGGGAGCAUGGGGCAAGGGGGGAAGACGGGGCAAAGCAGCGGGGAGUGAGGGAGGAUGGGGGUAGGGUAGUGAAGCUCACUGACCAGAGAUGAGAGUGACGGUACUGGGAAAAUAAGCACCGGCUAACUCCGUG
rnacentral:rRNA from 1 species